rnacentral:rRNA from 1 species
CCCUUAGAUGUUCUGGGCCGCACGCGCGCUACACUGAUACAAGCAGCAAGUCGUUUCCUGGGCCGAAAGGUCUGGGUAAUCUUGUGAAAUUGUAUCGUGAUAGGGCUUGACGAUUGUAAUUAUUUGUCACAAACGAGGAAUUCCUAGUAAGCGCAAGUCAUCAACUUGCACUGAUUACGUCCCUGCCCUUUGUACACACCGCCCGUCGCACCUACCGAUUGAAUGGUCCGGUGAAAUCUCGGGACGGCGGCUUGGUCGCUUGCGUCCGACUGCUGAAACUUGAUUAAACCAUAUCAUUUAGAGGAAGGUGAAGUCGUAACA